CUCCUGUAGAGAUGAGCUCUUAGGAGAGGCCUCAGCCAGUGGGCUGAGCAGGGAACAGACAGGAUGAGUUCUCUGGGGAACCCACCAGAAUGGAAAGCCUGUAAGAGGUGUUCCGAGAGAAGAGAGCCCCCCUAGAUGGAAGGCUGCAGUUGGCAGGCAUCCAAUAGGGCCUGAUCUCAUCCAGGGGUCUCCCAGACAAUAAGGAUCACAUACUGUCCCAGGUGAAGAAUUGCAAUAGAUGGAUCUCCCUGGAACCCUAACUCCAGAGAAGGAUAUUACUCUAGUAGGACCAAGAGGCCUAAAGUAGGGGCAGAGACUAGAACCAAGAUACCCCCUGGGGAAGAGUGUGGGAAGAGGCAAGAACUGGAUUCAGGGGACAGAUGAACUAAGAAUGACCUGGUCACCCAGCUGAAAUGUUGGGGUAACAGUUUUGUUUAUGUUCUGCGUUAGCUUUUCUGUUAAUAAUUGCGAUCAUCCACAGGAGGGUGCUCUUUAGCAUCCAGCGGUCUGAGCGGACUCAUUGAUUCUGUGGGUGAGGCAAAAAUCAAGUAAGGGCUUUCCUGCAACACCACUCCAACCUGCAAGAGGUGUGCCAGUUCUGACUGGAAUUCUCACAGGGCUCAGACCUGAAAUCUUUGGUCAGAUUACUCAAGCAAAGUCCCAUGGAAGUCAGUGGUCCAGCCCUCCACUAGUGAUGUGAAUGCAAAGCACCAUGGAGGGGACUUACAGAAGAAUCUUGUGAAAGGUUCCUGAAGAGGGAAGGUGGAGUUUUGUCUGAAUCGGAGGAUAUAAUCAUUCUGAGUUGCCUUCAACAUUCAACAAUCCAAGAUGACAGAUACCCAAAAGGGAUCGAAAGAAGAGAGAAAUAGCCACUGACUAUUACCCACUGUGACCUCAUUCCUGACAUCAAACUAGCUGCUUUGCAUCUUGCAGUAAAGACCAAGCAGGUUGAUUUUGAGCAGUGGAAAGUCAUGUUUCACAUUUUCUGCUGCUAACCACCUGGAAAAGCUUUAUUCUGUAGAACAUUUUGGUGGCCAUAAAGAUAUCAUGGACCUAAAGGAUCACUCGGUGAGCUGGGUGCAAAGCUCAAACCCUUGAGAAGCCUGGUUAAUGUUUUAGGACAUUACUUUUGAUGGUUUUUCCUGCCCUUACAAUAAUAUUAUCAAACCUGCUGAAAUGACAGGCAUAUCGUAUACAGUAGAACCUCAGAGUUACAAACACCAGAAUUAUGAACUGACUAGUCAACUACACACCUCACAUUUGGAACCAGAAGUACGCAAGCAGGCAACAACAGAGACCCCCCCCCAAAAAAGCAAAAUACAGUACGUUACUGUGUUCAACAUAAACUACUAAAAAAAUAAAGGGAAAGUUUAAAAAAAGAUUGGACAAGAUCUCAAAGGUGGAGACCCUUAAAUGAGAAUGAUCUGUUGCCAGUCAUGGAAUGUUCAGUCCUAAGAACAGAGAGCGUCCCAGCCACUCCCAACUGCUGCGACAAGAUACCGGGGUGAAUGGUGGUCUCUCAAGUAACCACACCCAAGACUCCUCAGUGCUUAAAGGAUUAAAAGUGUAUC